UCUGCAUCAUGCGAAGUGUGGCACUGUAGCAAAAACAUUGUAGCACAAACCUAGAGAAAAGCACGGUCACUGCACGCCCGUGUCCUUCCGACAGCAAAUCACUGGGAAAACACUCAUUUCACUUUUCAAGGGAGACACGGCCUCACUGCCAUUCACACGGGCAUGUUCUCUGGUGAACAUUGGGGUGUUGCUCCUGACAGGGGUGUGUUCUCUGGCGAACAAGGGGAUGUUGCUCCUGACAUGGGUGCAUUCUCUAGCGAACACGGGGGUGUGAGUGCUGAAUUUUGUGUUUCGCACUUUCUUGAGAUUUGCAACACCACGGACACACCCUUGACAUGCCCGUGUUCAUCGUGAAAACACUUUUUAAACUCAGAUAUAGGUCUUUUGAGAAAAUACUUCAUCCUCCCUUUUGAACAUUCUUCUUGGGGGCGCCUGUCAAGCACUUCUCGUCACUUUUUGGGGUCGGAGUGGGGCUACGGUGUAAGAUCACGAGAAAGAGAUUGGGUUAGCACAUGGAGCUCGGCAAGGGAGAUCAUCUAGAGAAGAAAAGGGAGUCUUGUCUUCCUCUUUAGUUAUUCAUUAUUUCUUCCUUGUUGUACCCACCCCUAAGGGGGCUAACUGUCUAUAGUGCCCCAGGGUUUGAGAACUUAGAUGAAUUGUAAUGCUUAUACACUUGUCGCUAUUUGUUCUACGGAGUUCUAAUUAAUUCUUGUGUUUAAUCUUGUGUUUGCAUAACUCGAUGUGUUGGAUGUGCACAGUUGUUAGGGUAAAACUCGGUGCAUAGCUUGUUAGCGAGAAACACACAGUUAUCUUAGCAAAACUCAGUUUAUUUGAAAACCCAUAGAUGGAACAUUGCUAGUGAGCACACACUUGGAUCUUUGGAAUGUAUCCGGUAGACUCUAGAGGCAAGAUAGCAUGCAAUAGUCUUAGGAAUCAUCCGAGAGCAUUACUCUGUCUCUGUGUAUCUCACCUAGUUCCAUUGCAGCCUUACUUGUCAUCUUUCCCGCUUUUAGGUUUUCUAGUUAUCAUCUUUAUCCAAUCCUUUCUAAUUCAGAUAGACAUUGGAGGAUCAAGUAGUUCUUUGAGUCUAGUCCCUAUUGUUCGACAACCCUACCCCUCACGGGGUACCACUAUAUUACUUGUGUGCGACCCGUACACUUGCGGAGAACACAACAUAGAUCAUCUUGAAAUAUUUGCUCUCGCAUAAUCUUGAAUAUAUUUAAAUAUUAUGAAAAUUUAUUUAUCUUAACCACAUGUUGUCCUUAUUCGAUUAGGAUUUUCCUAUAUGUGAUUGAAAAUUUUGAUUUUAUUUGAAUUAGGACAUGUGAACUUUUUUUUUAUAUAUAAACAGGUUCCAUGUGAACGGCACUUGCACAUGGGUUAGCCGAUCCUAAGGGAAGGGAGAGGCCCGUCAGGGAGCGAGUCCGUGCGUGAGCUUUGAAAGGGAAUCGAGUUAAAAUUCCCGAGCUGGGACAUAGCGGCUGACGGCGACAUUAGGUAUUUUGGAGACGCCGGCAGGGGCCCUGGGGAGUGUUAUCUUUUUUACUUAAUAGCCCGCCCACCCUGGAAACCGCUCAGCUAAGUACCGCUAAACCGCCCAUGCCGGAUCGUACUCAUAACUGCAUUAGGUCUCCAAGGUGAACAACCUCUUGCCGAUGGAACAAUGUAGGCAUAGAAAGUCGGGAAAAGGAUUGGCUUUGAGGGCUAGGCAUGGGGGUCCCAGCCUUGAAACCCGUCGGCUGUCGGCUGAUUGCUUAAGCUACGUUUGCGGUGAUAGUGUGCCACCGCAUGCCGGCCGGGGGAAGGACAACGGCGAGGGCCUUCCCUGGGCAUCGAACAAUGGACUCAGAAAUACUAUGGACAAGGGGAAUCUGACUGUUUAAUUAAAACAAAGCAUUGCGAUGGUCCUUACGGAUGCUCACUCAAUGUGAUUUCUGCCCAGUUCUCUGAAUGUCAAAGUUAAGAAAUUCAACCAAGCGCGGGUAAACGGCGGGAGUAACUAUGACUCUCUUAAGGUAGCCAAAUGCCUAAUCAUCUAAUUAGUGACACACAUGAAUGGAUUAAUGAGAUUCCCACUGUCCCUAUCUACUAUCCAAUAAAACCACAGGCAAGGAAACGGGCUUGGCUGAAUCAGCAGGGAAAGAAGACCCUGUUGAGCUUGACUUUAGUCCGACUUUGUGAAAUGACUUGAGAGGUGUAGGAUAAGUGGGAGCCAUCUGGCGGAAGUGAAAUACCACUACUUUUAACGUUAUUUUACUCAUUCCUUUUGGCUCCACCAUUCCUUUUGGCUCAAAGGCCACGCCCAACGCACGGCCAAUCCAAGAGAAAGACAUUGUCAGGUGGGGAGUUUGGUUAAGGUGGCACAUCUGUUAAAAGGUAACGCAGGUGUCCUAAGAUGAGCUCAAUGAGAACAAAAAUCUCAUGUGGAACAAAAGGGUAAAAGCUCAUUUGAUUUUGAUUUCCAGUAUAAAUACGAACCUUGAAAGUGUGGCCUAUCGAUCCUUUAGCCCUUCGGGAUUUGAAACUAGAGGUGUUAGAAAAGUUACCACAAGGAUAAUUUGCAUGUGGCAGCCAAGCGUUCAUAGCAACGUUGCUUUUUGAUCCUUUGUUGUCGGCUCUUCCUAUCAUUGUAAAGCAGAAUUCACAAAGUGUUGGAUUGUUCACCCACCAAUAGGGAACAUAAGUUGGGUUUAGACCAUCAUAAGACAGGUUAGUUUUACCCUACUAUUAACCACGCAGCCAUAGUAAUUUAACCUAGUACGAGAGGAACCGUUGAUUCACAUAUUUAGUCAUCGCACUUGUUGAAAAGCUAGUGGCGCAAAGUUACCGUGUACCGGAUUAUGGCUGAAUGCCUCUAAGCCAGAAUCCAAGCUAGCGUGCAACUCCACGCCCCGCAGCCCAGAACUUUGACCCAUAGUAGGGGACCCCGCAUCCCCCACGGGCCCGUGUCACAGGAAGUAGCCCCUGUGGCGGACCUGCCAUAGGAGGCGGCCUCAAAGUGCAGUUCUGAGUGGGUGGUGGGCUGAAUCCUUUGCAGACGACUUAAAUACGUGACAGGGCAAUAUAAGCGACAAAGUGGCCUUGCUGCCAUGAUCCACUAAGAUCCAGCCCC
rnacentral:rRNA from 1 species